rnacentral:misc_RNA from 1 species
UUUCCGUAGGUGAACCUGCGGAAGGAUCAUUCAUAAUAAAGUGUUUUAUGGCACUUUUUAAAAAUCCAUAUCCACCUUGUGUGCAAUGUUAGAUCUCGUCAAUCUUGGCGAGGUUUUUAUACAUCAACUCAUUCUUUAACUAAUUUGUCUGAAAAAUAUUAUGAAUACUUAAUUCAAAAUACAACUUUCAACAACGGAUCUCUUGGCUCUC